rnacentral:rRNA from 1 species
GUCGAGAGGCUUCGGCAAUGGGGGAAACCCUGACCGAGCGACGCCGCGUGGGCGAUGAAGGCCGUUAGGUUGUAAAGCCCUGUCGAGCGGGAAGAAUUGCAGAGGGGUAAACAAUCCCUUUGUUUGACGGUACCGCUAAAGGAAGCUCCGGCCAACUCCGUGCCAGCAGCCGCGGUAAUACGGGGGGAGCAAACGUUGUUCGGAAUUACUGGGCGUAAAGGGCGUGCAGGCGGUUCGGUAAGAGAGAUGUGAAAUGCCCUGGCUCAACCAGGGAACUGCAUCUCUGACUGCCGAACUUGAGCAUGGGAGAGGAUGCGAGAAUUCCCGGUGUAGCGGUGAAAUGCAUUGAUAUCGGGAGGAAUACCAGUGGCGAAGGCGCGCAUCUGGCCCAUUGCUGACGCUCAGGCGCGAAAGCUAGGGGAGCAAACAGGAUUAGAUACCCGUGUAGUCC